rnacentral:lncRNA from 1 species
UUGAUCAUUAUUACAGGUACCGUUGGUGACUUGUGGUUCUGUUGGUGACUUUGGGUUCAGAUGACCGUUUCUCAGUUGACUUUGGGUUUCAAGUGGAUUUGGGAUUCUGAGUUUAGACCGAAGCUUUGACCUUGUGAUCAGAGAUGCACAGCCAGCCAGUUGUGUCUGCAUCAUGUGCAUCAUAGCAUGUUUAUUUUCAAAAAAAAUACGCAAUAAAAAAAGAGAAGAAAAAAGAAAGAAA